rnacentral:rRNA from 1 species
UGGGGAAUUUUGGACAAUGGGGGAAACCCUGAUCCAGCCAUCCCGCGUGUGCGAUGAAGGCCUUCGGGUUGUAAAGCACUUUUGGCAGGAAAGAAACGUCAUGGGUUAAUACCCCGUGAAACUGACGGUACCUGCAGAAUAAGCACCGGCUAACUACGUGCCAGCAGCCGCGGUAAUACGUAGGGUGCAAGCGUUAAUCGGAAUUACUGGGCGUAAAGCGUGCGCAGGCGGUUCGGAAAGAAAGAUGUGAAAUCCCAGAGCUCAACUUUGGAACUGCAUUUUUAACUCCCGGGCUAGAGUGUGUCAGAGGGAGGUUGAAUUCCGCGUGUAGCAGUGAAAUGCGUAGAUAUGCGGAGGAACACCGAUGGCGAAGGCAGCCUCCUGGGAUAACACUGACGCUCAUGCACGAAAGCGUGGGGAGCAAACAGG